rfam:Pseudomonas sp. TW4, complete genome.
UGACCAAGGGGUCGGGAUGUUCUGCCUGCUUCAGGGGCGGAGUGACCUACGGGUACAGGGAGUACCUGCGUAAGGGCCGGGUCAGGAAAAGC